rnacentral:sRNA from 1 species
UAACCACUCUGGGCUUGCAACUUUCUUGUUGAUUUUUGCAACAUUCUUCUCCCUUGAUUUUUUUAUUUUCUCUGACUGGUCUUUCUUAAACCUGUCUUUGAGUGUAUACUCUUACAUUUGACGUUCCUCUGGAUUAUCUCUUCACCCCCCUUCUUUCUCAUGAUGCUCUUGCACAUUAUUUUUAAAAAUAUUACCCACUCUUGAUAGUGUAUCUGCACUGAGACACAUACUGGAAGCUAUAUAUUGCUUGACAUCUCAAUCUAAAACAACUCAUCUUUCUUACUUAUGAUUAGAGUUCCUCCUCUUCAUUUAUAUUCUUUUCUUGGUGAACAUCAGUGUCUACCAAUUUCUAAAUGCAAAGGAGAAAGAUACAAUUUUAAGCGAAAUGGUGGUGAUAUGCACAACUUUCAGAAGGAUACAUAAAACUUGGGUUUUCAGAGACAAUUUUUUCUUUUCUUUCUAGGAUAUGUUCAGGGAAUGAGUGAUUUACUUUCCCCUCUUUUAUAUGUGAUGGAAAAUGAAGUGGAUGCCUUUUGGUGCUUUGCCUCUUACAUGGACCAAAUGCAUCAGAAUUUUGAAGAACAAAUGCAAGGCAUGAAGACCCAGCUAAUUCAGCUGAGUACCUUACUUCGAUUGUUAGACAGUGGAUUUUGCAGUUACUUAGAAUCUCAGGACUCUGGAUACCUUUAUUUUUGCUUCAGAUGGCUUUUAAUCAGAUUCAAAAGGGAAUUUAGUUUUCUAGAUAUUCUUCGAUUAUGGGAGGUAAUGUGGACCGAACUACCAUGUAAAAAUUUCCAUCUUCUUCUCUGUUGUGCUAUUCUGGAAUCAGAAAAGCAGCAAAUAAUGGAAAAGCAUUAUGGCUUCAAUGAAAUACUUAAGCAUAUUAAUGAAUUGUCCAUGAAAAUUGAUGUGGAAGAUAUACUAUGCAAGGCAGAAGCAAUUUCUCUACAGAUGGUAAAAUGCAAGGAAUUGCCACAAGCAGUCUGUGAGAUCCUUGGGCUUCAAGACAGUGAAGUUACAACACCAGAUUCAGACGUUGGUGAAGACGAAAAUGUUGUCAUGACUCCUUGUCCUACAUCUGCAUUUCGAAGUAAUGCCUUGCCUACACUCUCCGCCAGUGGAGCCAGAGAUGACAGCCCAACACAGAUACCGGUGUCCUCAGAUGUCUGCAGAUUAACACCUGCAUGAUCACUCUUCUU